rnacentral:rRNA from 1 species
UACGUAGGGGGCAAGCGUUGUCCGGAAUCAUUGGGCGUAAAGAGCUCGUAGGCGGCUUGUCGCGUCGACUGUGAAAACCCGCGGCUCAACUGCGGGCUUGCAGCCGAUACGGGCAGGCUAGAGUUCGGUAGGGGAGACUGGAAUUCCUGGUGUAGCGGUGAAAUGCGCAGAUAUCAGGAAGAACACCAACGGCGAAGGCAGCUCGCUGGGACGGUACUGACGCUGAGACGCGAAAGCGUGGGGAGCGAACAGG